rnacentral:rRNA from 1 species
GACGAACGCUGGCGGCGUGCCUAACACAUGCAAGUCGAACGCUGAACCCGCUUCGGUGGGGGAUGAGUGGCGAACGGGUGAGUAACACGUGGGCAACCUGCCCCCGGCUCUGGGAUAACUCCAAGAAAUUGGGGCUAAUACCGGAUGUGACCGCUGGCCGCAUGGUCUGGUGGUGGAAAGGGUUUCCGGCUGGGGAUGGGCCCGCGGCCUAUCAGCUUGUUGGUGGGGUAGUGGCCUACCAAGGCGACGACGGGUAGCCGGCCUGAGAGGGUGACCGGCCACACUGGGACUGAGACACGGCCCAGACUCCUACGGGAGGCAGCAGUGGGGAAUAUUGCGCAAUGGGCGGAAGCCUGACGCAGCGACGCCGCGUGGGGGAUGACGGCCUUCGGGUUGUAAACCUCUUUCAGCAGGGACGAAGCGCAAGUGACGGUACCUGCAGAAGAAGCACCGGCCAACUACGUG